AUACGGAGGAUCCAAGCGUUAUCCGGAUUUAUUGGGUUUAAAGGGUGCGUAGGCGGACUGGUAAGUCAGCUGUGAAAGUUUGCGGCUUAACCGUAAAAUUGCAGUUGAUACUGUCAGUCUUGAGUGUGCAUGAGGUGGGCGGAAUUUGUGGUGUAGCGGUGAAAUGCUUAGAUAUCACGAGGAACUCCAAUUGCGAAGGCAGCUCACUGGGGCAUAACUGACGCUGAUGCACGAAGGUGUGGGUAUCAAACAGGAUUAGAUACCCUGGUAGUCCACACCGUAAACUAUGAAUACUCGCUGUUUGCGAUAUACAGUAAGCGGCCAAGCGAAAGCAUUAAGUAUUCCACCUGGGGAGUACGCCGGCACCGGUGAAACUUAAAGGAAUUGACGGGG
rnacentral:rRNA from 1 species